UCUAAAAUUAUUAUUUUUAUAAGGAUUUCAAGAAUCUUACAUGGUUUACUUUCUUGAACAGUGGACACUGCGAGGACUUUGCAUAGGAUUUAUCAUUUUUAUUGCUGUAAUAUGGGUUCUGCAACAACUAACAACAGUUCGCAUUCUCCGAUAUGUAAUUCUCUUCAUAGGUGUUAUGAACAGCUUGUUUUCAGUUUAUGGUACAAACUAUCCAUUCUCUAGG